UGAGUAAUGUUCUCCGCUAGAAAGGAGAGGGCAAGGCUGGUGCCAGCCGCCGCGGUAAAACCAGCUCUUCAAGUGGUCGGGAUAAUUAUUGGGCUUAAAGUGUCCGUAGCCGGUAGGGUAAGUUCCUGGUAAAAUUGGGCAGCUUAACUGUCCUUGUGCUAGGGAUACUGCUCUACUAGAGGGCGGGAGAAGUCUGAGGUACUACAGGGGUAGGGGUGAGAUCUUAUAAUCCUUGUAGGACCACCAGUGGCGAAGGCGUCAGACUGGAACGCGCCUGACGGUGAGGGACGAAAGCCAGGGGAGCGAACCGGAUUAGAUACCCGGGUAGUCCUGGCCGUAAACGAUGCGCACUAGGUGAUGGUGCGGCUAUGAGCCGCAUCAGUGUCGUAGGGAAACCGUUAAGUGUGCCGCCUGGGAAGUACGGUCGCAAGGCUUAAACUUAAAGGAAUUGGCGGGGGAGCACCACAAGGGGUGAAGCCUGCGGUUCAAUUGGACUCAACGCCGGGCAACUUACCAGGGGAGACAGCAGAAUGAGGGUCAGGUUGACGACCUUACCCGACAAGCUGAGAGGAGGUGCAUGGCCGUCGCCAGUUCGUGCUGUGAGGUAUCCUGUUAAGUCAGGCAACGAACGAGACCCGCACCUUUAUUUGCCAUCAAGAAGUCACGACUUCGUUGGGAACGAUAAAGGGACCGCCGUCGAUAAGACGGAGGAGGGAGCGGGCAAAGGCAGGUCAGUAUGCCCCGAAACCCCUGGGCCACACGCGGGCUGCAAUGGUGCGAACAAUGGGCUGUGACUCCGAAAGGAGAAACCAAUCCCGAAAUCGCAUCUCAGUGGGGAUUGUCGACUGUAACUCGUUGACAUGAACGUGGAA
rnacentral:rRNA from 1 species